AAUUUAUACCGAAGAGGUGAGAGAGCAGGCUCCGCGACCCUCUAGCAACCAGUUGAUGAACCAGGUGCUACAUCCUGCCCAAUUUUGGGACCUAUAAGUU
rnacentral:ncRNA from 2 species